rnacentral:rRNA from 1 species
AUUGAACGCUAGCGGGAUGCUUUACACAUGCAAGUCGAACGAGUGGCGGACGGGUGAGUAAUAUAUCGGAACGUCCCCAGUCGCGUGUGAUAACUACUCGCAAGUGUGGCUAAUACCGCCUACUAUUGGAGCGUCCGAUAUCGGAUUAGCUAGUUGGUGGGGUAAAGGCUCACCAAGGCAACUAUCCUUAGCUGGGUUGAGAGGACGACCAGCCACACUGGGACUGAGACACGGACCAGACUCAUACGGGAGGCAGCAGUGGGGAAUUUUGGACAAUGGGGGAAACCCGGAUCCAGCGAUCCCGCGUGUAUGAGAAGGCCUUCGGGUUGUAAAGUACUUUUGGCAGAGAAGCGGUAGCGGCAGAAUAAGAACAGGCUAACUACGUGCCAGCAGCCGCGGUAAUUC